GAUGAACGCUGGCGGCGUGCCUAAUACAUGCAAGUCGAGCGAACAGACGAGGAGCUUGCUCCUCUGACGUUAGCGGCGGACGGGUGAGUAACACGUGGAUAACCUACCUAUAAGACUGGGAUAACUUCGGGAAACCGGAGCUACUACCGGCUAAUAUAUUGAACCGCAUGGUUCAAUAGUGAAAGACGGUUUUGCUGUCACUUAUAGAUGGAUCCGCGCCGCAUUAGCUAGUUGGUAAGGUAACGGCUUACCAAGGCAACGAUGCGUAGCCGACCUGAGAGGGUGAUCGGCCACACUGGAACUGAGACACGGUCCAGACUCCUACGGGAGGCAGCAGUAGGGAAUCUUCCGCAAUGGGCGAAAGCCUGACGGAGCAACGCCGCGUGAGUGAUGAAGGUCUUCGGAUCGUAAAACUCUGUUAUUAGGGAAGAACAAAUGUGUAAGUAACUAUGCACGUCUUGACGGUACCUAAUCAGAAAGCCACGGCUAACUACGUG
rnacentral:rRNA from 1 species